AUUGAACGCUGGCGGCAGGCCUAACACAUGCAAGUCGAGCGGAUGAAGGGAGCUUGCUCCUGGAUUCAGCGGCGGACGGGUGAGUAAUGCCUAGGAAUCUGCCUGGUAGUGGGGGACAACGUUUCGAAAGGAACGCUAAUACCGCAUACGUCCUACGGGAGAAAGCAGGGGACCUUCAGGCCUUGCGCUAUCAGAUGAGCCUAGGUCGGAUUAGCUAGUUGGUAAGGUAAUGGCUCACCAAGGCGACGAUCCGUAACUGGUCUGAGAGGAUGAUCAGUAACACUGGAACUGAGACACGGUCCAGACGCCUACGGGAGGCAGCAGUGGGGAAUAUUGGACAAUGGGCGAAAGCCUGAUCCAGCCAUGCCGCGUGUGUGAAGAAGGUCUUCGGAUUGUAAAGCACUUUCAGCGAGGAGGAAGGGGUGUGUGUUAAUAGUACACACCUUUGACGUUACUCGCAGAAGAAGCACCGGCUAACUCUGUGCCAGCCGCCGCCGUAAGAC
rnacentral:rRNA from 1 species